UAAAAAAAUAUGACAGAAUAUACACUAAUUUUUAUCAAAUUUUUAUUAUUCAAAGUCGUUAAUUAUCAUAUAUACUUUAGCCACAUUAGGCAAUUACGUAAUCUUAUUUAAGGAAAUAAUGAAGCACAUUAAUAAUGUAUUUAUUGUAGUUUAAUAAAAAGUUUAUUAUAUAUUUAGAUGGACCAACCUAUUUCUCUAAGGAUUCUAAGAAUCAUUCUAGUGAUGAUACGUAGCUACAAAAAAAUGUUUCAAUGCUUCUUAAAUAAUAUAUAGGGGAUAACCUAACUUGAAAGCCAAAUGUAUGAAUAAUGCAAGAGAGCAUGGUAAACUCUGUUUUUAUAUUUACUUUUCUUUUCAACAUUUCCAAGUCUUAGGUUUUCAACCCAAAAAGGCUAAUUUGUCAUUUUUAUAACCGGUCAAAUUGAGAAAGAUCAUUUCCAAUUUACAACACGACACACCAUGUAUGAAUAGCUUGAGAGUUGUCAAAUACACAACUAAACAUGAUUGUGGACAGGAAAAUAUAUUUACUGUAGAGUCAAAUAUUUUCCAACUAUAUAAUUUGUAACUAGUUUUAUUACUUGCUUGAAUCAUACAUAAGUUUCCAAAUUAUUAGCUGAUACAAAAACUUUGAAAUCAACCUCAAGUAAUAUGUGGGAAGCGAGGCUUCAAUGAGUGUCAUCAUGUAUUUAUGGAAACCCUUGAGGGAUACUUGGGACAGAAGGCAGCCAAUUAUCGGAUUCAUCAAAUCUUGGACCAAAUGGUUCGGGAGGAGGGGGCUGAUCUAAGAACGGUAAGGGCGGAAAAUCAGGGAGAGAGUGCCAAACCGGUACAGGAAACCUCCCCUUUUCAAGAUCGGGAAAUGUUGGCGGCGGCGGAAGGAGAGGCAAAUCAGGCUGAGGCGUCACUAUUGGUUCCUGGAAAGACGGAAAGUCAGGGAACCCAAGGUCAUGUACCGGUGAAUUACGACCGGAAGAUGGAUAAUCAUCAGCGCUAAUCUGAGCUACAUUAGCCUUGGAUGAUCUCACUAGUCGUGAUGAAAAUAUCUCUUUGGAGUCGAGAAUCAAAAAAAAAGUUAACACGAUGAUGUAUCUAAGCACAAGUGAAAGUGAAGCCAUUUUUGUAUUAGUGUGGAUUAAAAUGAUGUUUAGUCCUUUUUGCGAUCAUAGGAUUCAUGAAGUUUCAAAUUUAUAGGUUUGAAUUUAAGUUGUUGACGAUUGUAAAAUCUUCGUUAUAUAUUUUGCAUUGUGUUCCUACUUUCCACCAAAGCAUAUGCUAACAUCAAAAGUCAAACGUCAUGUCAACUACGAGUGUUUUGACCAGGAUCAACUCGAGAUAAUUCCACCUGUGUAUCCCACUCCCACCCAACUGGGUCAACGGGCACACACUAUAUGGUCUUAUAUAUUACAACCAAACCCAUAUCGAACAGAAAAGAAAAAAAAAAACAUGAUUAGAUUUCAAUUUUUCUAGAUUCAUAAAUAAAAUUGAAAAUUUUCCUAAGAACCAACACCAAACCUAACCU